AACAUUUGGGCCUUUUCUUUUCUCUUUAGAUUUGUCAUUUUUCUGAUUUCUUUUACAUUUUCAUGCAUCCGAAUUGUUGAUUUGAUUUAGUAAUACUGUGAGAGAACUUGGCUUGUGCGGAAGAAUUCUUCCUCUUCCCCCUCCCUUUUGAGUGUGUAUUUGAGUAGAGUUUUUGGGCUGGACUACCAGUGCUUUGUGUUUGUUCAUUUCUGGGUUUAUCGUCAGAUGCUUGUGAGCCUCCAAUUUGAAACCAAAAAUGCCAUGUGAAGAACAAAGAUAUCCGGAAGUUCCUUGAUGGUAUCUAUGUCAGUGAGAAGGGGCGAAUAGCCGAGGAGGACUGAGGAGAGUUAGUGGCCUACAUUUCUUAAUCGUUUUCUUGGAUUGUUUCCCUUUUAUCAUAUCAAGCUGCUUGUGGGGAUUUCUUAGAGAUGACUUCUAUUUUGAACUUAAAAAAUUUUACCCUACAAGCUCAAAAAAUUGACUUUGAGUUGGAGCUAUCUUCCAUGGGGGGAUAUGGCCAUUUUUGCCAAUUUAGGCCACCUUACAGUACUCAAACUGAAAAACUUUGCUUUUCAAGGACCUAGAUGGGACCUAAAUGAAGGGGUAUUUGGUUGUCUAAAGUCGUUGCUAAUAGAAAGUACAGAUCUAGUACACUAGGAGGCCACAAGCACUGAUAAUUUUCCAUGCCUUGAACACCUGCUUCUGAGGUCUUGCAAAUCCUUAGAGGAGAUCCCUUAUGGUAUUGGGGAACUUCCUACCCUUUCACUACUUGAGGAGCACUACUGUAGCAAAUCUGCAGAGGAUUCUGCUAAAGAAUUUGGAGAGGAAAUUGAAGGUCUGAAGGUUGUCACGAGAAGUGAUAUUUAGGUGAAAAUAUCAUCAAAGAUUCUUGAUUUCUAAUUUCUAUGUGCACCAAUGAGUCGGAAGUUAGAAAUAAGUCUUGUUACUGAUUUUCUACUGUCAGUGGUAUACUAUUCUCUGUACUUUAGAAUUUUAUCAAUCUUUCCCCUUACACUUUUUCUUUAGCAUUACAUGCUAUGUUGUAAUUUUUGGUUGUAUGACAGGCUCCUGGACUCUGCACAGUGAAAGCUUGCAAUUCCUUUUGCAUUGUGGAUAUUGUCCUUGCAUUUUGUGAUGAUGAAAUUGAAGACGCGUGUGGUGAGGAAAAAUGUAAAUCCUGAGUGGAAUGAAGACCUUACACUGUCAAUUGCAGAUCCAAGCAUCCCAAUCAAGCUAGUGGUACCAACUAAAGAUUGAUGGUGUCUUUGUGGUUAUGACUGAAGGCUCUCAUUUGGUUGGAAAGUUUGGAAGCUACUACAAGUUCUUUCAACUUUUUACAUUAGAAGAGUCUUUUAUUUUUAUUUUAGCUAGUGGCAUUGUUUAACAUUGCUAUUCUACUUUAAACAACUUUUUCGAUUAGCUAUGUUAGUACUUGUUGCUGACUUUUAGUUCAACAAAUGAUAUUUGAGCUUUGA